AUCCAGCUUGUGAGUCCCAAAUAGGACGAAACGCGCAUCUUGGAU
rfam:Schistosoma rodhaini strain Burundi genome assembly, scaffold: SROB_scaffold0004101